AUACGGAGGGUGCGAGCGUUAAUCGGAAUUACUGGGCGUAAAGCGUACGUAGGCGGUUGGUUAAGUUAGAUGUGAAAGCCCCGGGCUUAACCUGGGAACUGCAUUUAAAACUGGCGAACUAGAGUUGAGUAGAGGGGAGUGGAAUUUCAGGUGUAGCGGUGAAAUGCGUAGAGAUCUGAAGGAACACCAGUGGCGAAGGCGACUCCCUGGACUCGAACUGACGCUGAGGUACGAAAGCGUGGGUAGCAAACGGGAUUAGAAACCCGUGUAGUCC
rnacentral:rRNA from 1 species